rnacentral:rRNA from 1 species
AUACGGAGGGGACAAGCGUUAUUCGGAAUCACUGGGCGUAAAGGACGCGUGGGCGGGUUAUUAAGUCGGGUGUGAAAUCCAAUGGCUCAACUAUUGAACUGCAUUCGAAACUGAUAACCUAGAGUAUGGAAGGGGCAGGUGGAAUUAGUGGUGUAGGGGUAAAAUCCGUAGAUAUCACUAGGAAUACCGAAAGCGAAGGCGACCUGCUGGGACAUUACUGACGCUGAGGCGUGAAAGCGUGGGGAGCAAACAGGAUUAGAAACCCCGGUAGUCC